rnacentral:lncRNA from 1 species
GAGAGGAUAAACCAUGUAGACAUAAAUAAUUUGGGAUAGAUUUUGUCAUCCCAGUUCUUCCUGAAGGCAUGAAAGGACUCACUUGAUAAAAAUGUCUUGAAUGUAAACAGCAUGAGAAACACUUCAGUUGGCCUACAUCUUUCUGUGUGAAACUCCCACCAAAAAGAAAUGUAAAGGCUGCCCGAAAUGCUCUUCAACAUCCUCUUCUGCUGGCUCCAUGGAUCUUUCUGUGACACUGCAGGGCUGUGGAAGAGGUCCCUUGUAUGAUAGAAUAACCAAAGCCAGUAUAGAAGGCUGUGCAGUCGGCUGCGAGCUGGAGGUUCUCCAAAGAGGAAAAUAAGCAGAGCAGAGCUUGGAAAAGCCACCAGAGACCCUUGUGAAGACUUUAAGAAGGCUUCACAACAACUCCACGGAAGACAGCUGUAUAAUGUUUCAUGAUUAAACAGUGCAAACGCAAGGUACGAACAGCGAUGAUCUGUUAAACUUGGGAUGCGUUAAAAUGGAUAACUUAUCUAAAGAGGAACGAUUAUAAGCACUUAUUGAAUAUUUUCCUCAAAUUUAUAAAUAGAAAAUGUUAGUUGGUCACAUGAUUAUUUAACUGAUUCACUUAAAUAAAAAUGUAUAGGGUGUUGUCA